rnacentral:lncRNA from 1 species
GGAUUCUGCUUCUCUUCCUCUUCUCCUUUCAACUUCCAGCCACACCACACUGCUGAAGCAGAGUCUCAUUUGACAGAGGAUGGUAGGCUACCUCGUACUUGAGUUACAUUUGGAGAGCUGCACUGUGUUGCUACAGAACACAGACAAGAGUACCUAAGGGAAACUGAAGCUGUAUGUGAGCCAUCAUCUUAAGAUUAAGAAGACGACUGAGCAGACGAGAUGCCAAGGCAAACUGGGAAGAAUUUCAGGCCAUAGCAAGGUGCCUCUUCUAUUACUUUCUGUGGCUAGGUGCAUCCUCAUGUUAUUUUAUGGGCAGGAGGCAGAGAGAGCCAACUGGAGAUGACAUGGGCAUGGAAACCUCAAAGCCCACCCCCAGUGACACAUCUUUUUCAACAAGUCCACACUCCUACUUCUUCCCAACUGGAAGACGUUUUACCAACUGGGAACCAAG